GCAUCACUGUAACAGUCCCGCUAGGUGGCAUCACUGUCACAGUCCCGCUAGGUGGCAUCACUGUCACAGUCCCGCUAGGUGGCAUCACUGUAACAGUCCCGCUAGGUGGCAUCACUGUCACAGUCCCGCUAGGUGGCAUCACUGUAACAGUCCCGCUAGGUGGCAUCACUGUCACAGUCCCGCUAGGUGGCAUCACUGUCACAGUCCCGCUAGGUGGCAUCACUGUCACAGUCCCGCUAGGUGGCAUCACUGUCACAGUCCCGCUAGGUGGCAUCACUGUAACAGUCCCGCUAGGUGGCAUCACUGUCACAGUCCCGCUAGGUGGCAUCACUGUAACAGUCCCGCUAGGUGGCAUCACUGUAACAGUCCCGCUAGG